UUACCGAGUUUACAACUCCCAAACCCCUGUGAACAUACCACUUGUUGCCUCGGCGGAUCAGCCCGCUCCCGGUAAAACGGGACGGCCCGCCAGAGGACCCCUAAACUCUGUUUCUAUAUGUAACUUCUGAGUAAAACCAUAAAUAAAUCAAAACUUUCAACAACGGAUCUCUUGGUUCUGGCAUCGAUGAAGAACGCAGCAAAAUGCGAUAAGUAAUGUGAAUUGCAGAAUUCAGUGAAUCAUCGAAUCUUUGAACGCACAUUGCGCCCGCCAGUAUUCUGGCGGGCAUGCCUGUUCGAGCGUCAUUUCAACCCUCAAGCACAGCUUGGUGUUGGGACUCGCGUUAAUUCGCGUUCCCCAAAUUGAUUGGCGGUCACGUCGAGCUUCCAUAGCGUAGUAGUAAAACCCUCGUUACUGGUAAUCGUCGCGGCCACGCCGUUAAACCCCAACUUCUGAAUGUUGACCUCGGAUCAGGUAGGAAUACCCGCUGAACUUAAGCAUAUCAAUA
rnacentral:rRNA from 1 species